rnacentral:tRNA from 4 species
AGGCUAGUAGUUCAAUUGGUAGAGCAACGGUCUCCAAAACCGUAGGUUGGGGGUUCGAGUCCCUCCUAGCCUG